UCUAAAAUGGCAGACCAUUGCAUGGGAUUUAAGCUCCCAAUAGGAAGAACUUCUUCUUUUAGAA
rnacentral:tRNA from 1 species